rnacentral:lncRNA from 1 species
UUGGUGAUAAUGAGCAUCUUUGUUUCACUCCUGAUCUUAUAUGGGAGGCUAUGAUUUAUCCUCAUGAUGGGGGCACUAAAUGGCUUUUGGUAUUAUUGACAGAUAUACAUUUUCUAUUAGAUGGAUCACAAGUCUAACUUAGUGUCAUGUUUCAUAUCAUUGUAAAAGAGAAGGUGAAUGGGGUUUUCAACUUGUUUGGAUGAAGUUGAUGGCUUAUUUUUUUGUUCUUGUCUUGUUGGUAAUGGAGAUUAAUUUAUAACUAACAAAGAUAAUUUACAGAAUUGAAGUAUUCUCUGGAUUCAAGCAUUAUAAACAGUGUUAACCUUAAAUUUACAAUGCUCAGGAGCUAUGGCAGUUAUCAACAUGGCUGACAUUAGUUCUAAAGAUCAGCCUUCUAGAAUUCCAGUCUUUCCAAAUGACCCACAGCAAAGUAUACAGAAACUAUAGAGACCCAAGAUUAUUUGCAAAAGCUAUGGCACCUGUCUGUCAGGAUGCUGCUGCAAAGACAACUUCAACUAACUCAGCCUGGGAGAUUCCAGUCCCUCAUUCAACUGUAGAAGUGGAAUUUAACCAUGGAAUCCGAUUUCACCAAAAUCAAGAAGACUAUACAGCAACCAAAAAACCCCUAAAAAAAGCAAAAACGCCAAAUGAGCUUUCUUGAAGAGAAAUACAAAGAUCGAAUCUGAAAAGCUAAACGCCACAGUAAAGAGGAAUCAUGGAAAUGGGGGAAGGGACAGGAAAUGGUGACUUUAAACACAAGUGUCAACACACAGAGAGAAUAUCGUGACCCGAUGCGUCAGAAAGUUUGAACCUUGCUCUUUUCUAAUACCCUCAAACACACUGCUGCCAUUUCAUUGAAUUCAUGGAGGUAGUUAUAUGUGAAAAUAAAAAUUACCAUAAAGUAACA